rnacentral:rRNA from 1 species
UACGGAGGGGGCUAGCGUUGUUCGGAAUUACUGGGCGUAAAGCGCGCGUAGGCGGCUUUGUAAGUCAGAGGUGAAAGCCUGGAGCUCAACUCCAGAACUGCCUUUGAAACUACAUCGCUAGAAUCAUGGAGAGGUUAGUGGAAUUCCGAGUGUAGAGGUGAAAUUCGUAGAUAUUCGGAAGAACACCAGUGGCGAAGGCGACUAACUGGACGUGUAUUGACGCUGAGGUGCGAAAGCGUGGGGAGCAAACAGG